CUGAGAGGACGACCAGCCACACUGGGACUGAGACACGGCCCAGACUCUUACGGGAGGCAGCAGUGGGGAAUUUUGGACAAUGGGCGCAACCCUGAUCCAGCUAUUCCGCGUGUGGGAUGAAGGCCCUCGGGUUGUAAACCACUUUUGUAGAGAACGAAAAGACACCUUUAAUAAAGGGUGUUGCUGACGGUACUCUAAGAAUAAGC
rnacentral:rRNA from 1 species